rnacentral:lncRNA from 1 species
CUGACAGAGGGGAGGCCAGACCCAGUGGGGCCGAGACCCAGGGCCGGCUCUGCAGAUGCUGCCCGUGCUGCUGCCACCGCUGCUGCUGCUGCUGCUUAGGCCCAGACUGACGGAGGCCUACAGCAGGAAGGACCCGGCCACGUGGCCUUGGCAGGCAAGCAUCUUUCUGGACAGCCGGUACCGCUGUGAGGGGGCCCUCAUUUCCCCAGAGUGGGUGCUGACAAGUGCCAGCUGCUUUGGCAGCUGGCCGCUGGCCCUCUUCAGCGUGACCCUGGGCCCAGAUCGGCUGGCGCUGGACACUUGUGGCAGCAAGGCCAGCGUGGAGGCGCUGCUCCUGUCCCCAGGAGGGCCCAAGGCCUCGGGAUCUGGUGCCCUGGCCCUGGCUCGGCUGGCAAGGCCACCAUCUCUCAGCAGUGCCAUAUGGCCUAUCCCUCUGGCCACCCGGCCCAGGGGCGGAUCUGCUGGGCCCAAGGCUUUGAUCCUGACUUGGACCCCCACGCCCCACCCCCAAGGCUGGAGAGCACCCCCCUGAGGCUGCUGCACACCAACACCUGCAGAGACACCUUCCGCCUCCAGCCCGACUGUCCGGACCUGCAGGCCCUCCUGCCCAAGGGCUCCUGGUGCGCGAUCGCCCCCACCAGCCCAGCCCAGCUGGUGGUGUCUGAUGGGAGCCCCCUGGUCUGCUUCCAAGCUAGCAGCUGGCGGCUGGAGGGUGUGAUGACCUGGGUCCCUGCUCCCGGCCUGGCCUCCCUGAGGUCUACACACGUGCCUGUCCCCUCAUUUCUUGGAUUCGGGAGACGGUCUCCAAUGCCACCUUCGAUACCUCAGCCAAGAUGCACUCUUGGGACCGGCCCAGGACCAGGCAGAGGAGGCAGUGAGGGUCCUUCGGGAGUUCUGGGUUUGAAACCUGGCUCAGCUCCUUACCUGCUGCUGCGAUGGUGUCCCAGUCACCUCCCUUCUGAAUCUGCUUCCUCUUUUGUGCAACGGAGAUGUAUUCAAUUAUUCAGUCGUUCCACAGCUGCCACAUGCUCCCUACACAAGGUUGCUACAGCCCCUGUGCUCAUGGAGUCUGGGGGGCGAGGCGAGCAUUAGCCAGCGCUCUCACAAUAAUAAAUGUGCAAAUGCGAACCGUGACGGGUGCUUU